rnacentral:lncRNA from 1 species
CUCCAUCUCUAUCUGGAGAGUACAGAGGAAUUGCAUCUCUCAGAUCUUUCUCCUCAUUUCCGCAUCACCAACGAUGCAAUGCAGCACUUUGCUCGAUCGAGUCUUCUCUAAUGCUGCCACUUGAGCGUCACUACCAGCAUUUCUUUUCUCAGAAGCUUGAUUCACUGCAAAGUUUGAGAGCUAUAAGAUCGGUUUUGGAUUGAUAAGUGCAAGAUACCUGAGUAUUUCCAUUCCAUCUUUUUUGUCCGUUUUUGUUCUUUGUUUUUCUUUUGUAGAGUUCGUGCUUCUCGCGGACAGCCUGCAACUUGGUAGAAAGGAGACGCAAUAAAGCACGAG